rnacentral:rRNA from 1 species
GACGAACGCUGGCGGCGUGCCUAAUACAUGCAAGUAGAACGCACAGUUUAUACCGUAGCUUGCUACACCAUAGACUGUGAGUUGCGAACGGGUUAGUAACGCGUAGGUAACCUGCCUGGUAGCGGGGGAUAACUAUUGGAAACGAUAGCUAAUACCGCAUAAUAUUAAUUAUUGCAUGAUAAUUUAUUGAAAGAUGCAACUGCAUCACUACCAGAUGGACCUGCGUUGUAUUAGCUAGUAGGUGAGGUAACGGCUCACCUAGGCGACGAUACAUAGCCGACCUGAGAGGGUGAUCGGCCACACUGGGACUGAGACACGGCCCAGACUCCUACGGGAGGCAGCAGUAGGGAAUCUUCGGAAAUGGACGAAAGUCUGACCGAGCAACGCCGCGUGAGUGAAGAAGGUUUUCGGAUCGUAAAGCUCUGUUGUAAGAGAAGAACGGGUGUGAGAGUGGAAAGUUCACACUGUGACGGUAUCUUAACAGAAAGGGACGGCUAACUACGUG